UUAACACAUGCAAGUCGAGGGGCAGCAUUUCAGUUUGCUUGCAAACUGGAGAUGGCGACCGGCGCACGGGUGAGUAACACGUAUCCAACCUGCCGAUAACUCGGGGAUAGCCUUUCGAAAGAAAGAUUAAUACCCGAUGGUAUAAUCAGACCGCAUGGUCUUGUUAUUAAAGAAUUUCGGUUAUCGAUGGGGAUGCGUUCCAUUAGGCAGUUGGUGAGGUAACGGCUCACCAAACCUUCGAUGGAUAGGGGUUCUGAGAGGAAGGUCCCCCACAUUGGAACUGAGACACGGUCCAAACUCCUACGGGAGGCAGCAGUGAGGAAUAUUGGUCAAUGGGCGCAGGCCUGAACCAGCCAAGUAGCGUGAAGGAUGACUGCCCUAUGGGUUGUAAACUUCUUUUAUAUGGGAAUAAAGUUUUCCACGUGUGGAAUUUUGUAUGUACCAUAUGAAUAAGGAUCGGCUAACUCCGUGCCAGCAGCCGCGGUAAUACGGAGGAUCCGAGCGUUAUCCGGAUUUAUUGGGUUUAAAGGGAGCGUAGGUGGACAGUUAAGUCAGUUGUGAAAGUUUGCGGCUCAACCGUAAAAUUGCAGUUGAUACUGGCUGUCUUGAGUACAGUAGAGGUGGGCGGAAUUCGUGGUGUAGCGGUGAAAUGCUUAGAUAUCACGAAGAACUCCGAUUGCGAAGGCAGCUCACUGGACUGCAACUGACACUGAUGCUCGAAAGUGUGGGUAUCAAACAGGAUUAGAUACCCUGGUAGUCCACACAGUAAACGAUGAAUACUCGCUGUUUGCGAUAUACAGUAAGCGGCCAAGCGAAAGCAUUAAGUAUUCCACCUGGGGAGUACGCCGGCAACGGUGAAACUCAAAGGAAUUGACGGGGGCCCGCACAAGCGGAGGAACAUGUGGUUUAAUUCGAUGAUACGCGAGGAACCUUACCCGGGCUUAAAUUGCAUUUGAAUAUAUUGGAAACAGUAUAGCCGUAAGGCAAAUGUGAAGGUGCUGCAUGGUUGUCGUCAGCUCGUGCCGUGAGGUGUCGGCUUAAGUGCCAUAACGAGCGCAACCCUUAUCUUUAGUUACUAACAGGUCAUGCUGAGGACUCUAGAGAGACUGCCGUCGUAAGAUGUGAGGAAGGUGGGGAUGACGUCAAAUCAGCACGGCCCUUACGUCCGGGGCUACACACGUGUUACAAUGGGGGGUACAGAAGGCAGCUACCUGGUGACAGGAUGCUAAUCCCAAAAGCCUCUCUCAGUUCGGAUCGAAGUCUGCAACCCGACUUCGUGAAGCUGGAUUCGCUAGUAAUCGCGCAUCAGCCAUGGCGCGGUGAAUACGUUCCCGGGCCUUGUACACACCGCCCGUCAAGCCAUGAAAGCCGGGGGUACCUGAAGUACGUAACCGCAAGGAGCGUCCUAGGGUAAAACUGGUAAUUGGGGCUAAGUCAUAA
rnacentral:rRNA from 1 species